rnacentral:rRNA from 1 species
GAUGAACGCUAGCGACAGGCUUAACACAUGCAAGUCGAGGGGCAGCAUAGAAGUAGCAAUACUUUGGUGGCGACCGGCGCACGGGUGAGUAACGCGUAUGCAACCUACCUAUCAGAGGGGAAUAACCCGGCGAAAGUCGGACUAAUACCGCAUAAAACAGGGGCACCGCAUGGUGAUAUUUGUUAAAGAAAUUCGCUGAUAGAUGGGCAUGCGUUCCAUUAGGUAGUUGGUGAGGUAACGGCUCACCAAGCCGACGAUGGAUAGGGGAACUGGGCGGUUGGUCCCCCACACUGGUACUGAGACACGGACCAGACUCCUACGGAAGGCAGAAGUGAGGAAUAUUGGUCAAUGGGCGGGAGCCUGAACCAGCCAAGUCGCGUGAAGGAAGAAGGAUCUAUGGUUCGUAAACUUCUUUUGCAGGGGAAUAAAGUGCAGGACGUGUCCUGUUUUGUAUGUACCCUGAGAAUAAGGAUCGGCUAACUCCGUGCCAGCCGCCGCCGUAA